rnacentral:rRNA from 1 species
AGAGUUUGAUCCUGGCUCAGGAUGAACGCUGACAGAAUGCUUAACACAUGCAAGUCUACUUGAUCCUUCGGGUGAAGGUGGCGGACGGGUGAGUAACGCGUAAAGAACUUGCCUUACAGACUGGGACAACAUUUGGAAACGAAUGCUAAUACCGGAUAUUAUGACUGAGUCGCAUGAUUUGGUUAUGAAAGCUAUAUGCGCUGUGAGAGAGCUUUGCGUCCCAUUAGUUAGUUGGUGAGGUAACGGCUCACCAAGACGAUGAUGGGUAGCCGGCCUGAGAGGGUGAACGGCCACAAGGGGACUGAGACACGGCCCUUACUCCUACGGGAGGCAGCAGUGGGGAAUAUUGGACAAUGGACCAAAAGUCUGAUCCAGCAAUUCUGUGUGCACGAUGAAGUUUUUCGGAAUGUAAAGUGCUUUCAGUUGGGAAGAAGUCAGUGACGGUACCAACAGAAGAAGCGACGGCUAAAUACGUGCCAGCAGCCGCGGUAAUACGUAUGUCGCAAGCGUUAUCCGGAUUUAUUGGGCGUAAAGCGCGUCUAGGCGGUUUAGUAAGUCUGAUGUGAAAAUGCGGGGCUCAACCCCGUAUUGCGUUGGAAACUGCUAAACUAGAGUACUGGAGAGGUAGGCGGAACUACAAGUGUAGAGGUGAAAUUCGUAGAUAUUUGUAGGAAUGCCGAUGGGGAAGCCAGCCUACUGGACAGAUACUGACGCUAAAGCGCGAAAGCGUGGGUAGCAAACAGGAUUAGAUACCCUGGUAGUCCACGCCGUAAACGAUGAUUACUAGGUGUUGGUGGGUAUGACCCAUCGGUGCCGCAGCAAACGCAAUAAGUAAUCCACCUGGGGAGUACGUUCGCAAGAAUGAAACUCAAAGGAAUUGACGGGGACCCGCACAAGCGGUGGAGCAUGUGGUUUAAUUCGAAGCAACGCGAAGAACCUUACCAAGUCUUGACAUCCC